UCGAAAGCCUGUCCCAGUUCGGACUGGAGUCUGNAACCCGACUCCACGAAGUUGGAUUCGCUAGUAAUCGCGCAUCAGCCAUGGCGCGGUGAAUACGUUCCCGGGCCUUGUACACACCGCCCGUCAAGCCAUGGGAGCCGGGGGCGCCUGAAGUCCGGGACCGCGAGGACCGGCCUAGGGCGAAACUGGUAACUGGGGCUAAGUCGUAACAAGGUAGC
rnacentral:rRNA from 1 species